UUAAGUAAAAGUCGUAACAAGGUUUCCGUAGAUGAACCUGCGGAAGGAUCAUUAUUGUAUAACCGAGGUGCGAGGGCUGUCGCUGACCCGAAAGGUCGUGCACGCCCGAGUGCCCUCACACACAUCCAUCUCACCCCUAUGUGCACCACCGCGUGGGUCCCCCUUUGGCUUGUUCGGAGGGGGGCUUACGUUUUCACACAAACUUUGUAUGCAGUGUAGAAUGUAUUUUUUGUUUUUGCGAUCACGCAACCAAUACAACUUUCAACAACGGAUCUCUUGGCUCUC
rnacentral:misc_RNA from 1 species